rnacentral:misc_RNA from 1 species
UGAAAAGUUUUCUCUGUCUCGCUCACUCACUCUUUGGCCAUUUGUCAAUGACUGUGACUGUGUGGAGUGUGGAGUGACUUCUCGCGUGACUUCCAUCCGACAUCCAAGGCCCGCAUCCGUGCCCCGUAUCCCGUGCCCCGUGCCCCGUGUCCCGUGUCCUGUGUCUAUGGCUGCAGGGGGAAACACGCGGAAGUGGAUAAACUGCUGAAACAGACUCCCAGGACAAGGACUACUCCAAAACAGGACCACUCGCGCGGCCACAAUUCGUGCAGCGGAGGACGAGCCUCGCCAUAAAACAGAGGCGGCAAAUAGGAAAAGCCAAACGACAAGCAUCCAACAUCCAGCAUCCAACAUCCAGCAUCCAGUCUUUGUCUGCCCUGUCUGGGUCCCUGGCAAUUGGCCAAGUUAAUAGAGAAAACCGGAGCCGGGAGGCCCGAUAAUGACGUUGCUGCAGCUGCAGCCGCUGCUUCUGCUUCUGGUUCUGGCUCUGGUUUCGCCUCCAACCCAAUGAUGAUGCUGCUAACUUGGUUAUUGCUGCCGGCAUAGACAAAAACACAGACACAGACGCAGAAACAGCAACAGAAACAGAGCCACAGAGCCAGACGCAGGCACAGACACAGACACAGCGAGAGACGAGAAGAACAAAAAGAAAUAAAGCUAGCCCACCCUCCAAUCGGCAGCCUUCGGCCAGGACCAGGCCUUCGUCCAGGCUUACUGCAUUUCCGCUUGUUGUUCCUGUCGCCGCCAUCAUCCAGAAGCGUGGCCAUCGCCAUGCCACUCCACAUGGCGCACAGCAUCUGCGUGGCCUGGGCGAUGCUCCUCGUCGUUAUUGUGAUGAGCGAUAUGACAAAUGGCGGCGUGCAGGGCCCCAUCGAGGGCUACAACUCGCUGGAAGAGAUGAUGAUGACAACGACAGACAGGGCCCAGGCAGCCAUGCUCCUACCCACCGCGCCCACUGUCGCUUACACGCAUCCCAAAUGGAUGGAGCCAUAUUUCGAUCCCUCGACGCCGCGCAAUGUCACCGCCCUCAUGGGCAAGAACGCCUAUCUCAGCUGCCGUGUGCGCAAUUUGGCCAACAAAACGGUAUCGUGGAUACGGCACCGCGAUAUACAUAUACUGACUGUCGGCUCGUACACCUACACCUCCGAUCAGCGGUUUCAGGCCACCCACCACCAGGACACCGACGACUGGACGCUGCAGAUAAAGUGGGCCCAGAAGCGGGAUGCGGGCAUGUACGAGUGCCAGAUUUCGACGCAGCCGGUUCGCAGUUAUUUCGUCCGUCUGAAUGUUGUCGUGCCAACGGCUACCAUCCUGGGAGGACCUGACCUUCACGUUGAUAAAGGCAGCACCAUAAAUCUCACUUGCACUGUAAAGUUCAGCCCCGAACCACCGGCCUACAUCUUCUGGUAUCAUCACGAGGAGGUCAUUAAUUAUGAUUCAUCAAGAGGCGGCGUGUCGGUAAUUACCGAAAAGGGCGAUGUGACAACCUCAUUUCUGCUCAUACAGAAUGCAGAUCUGGCCGAUUCGGGCAAAUACUCCUGUGCUCCUUCCAACGCAGAUGUGGCCAGCGUGCGUGUCCAUGUCCUAAAUGUUCGGGCCAUAAUUUCAGGUGAACAUCCGGAGGCAAUGCAAACAGGCUCAUCCGGUUGUCAGGUCAAUUGGCUGACAAUUGUCCUGCUGCUGGGCCUCGUCCUGUGCUACAGUAAGCAGUGCACAGCCGCACUGCCAUCUCCGUUGCCAGGGUUAGCAACAGCAAUAGCAAGUGCAUCCAGUGAAAGCACAACUGCCACAUCGAGGAAACGCUGCCCUGCGGUCGCCAGCUGCCGCCAAGCCGCAAGCCACGCCAACACCCAGGCCCAGGUCCAGGUCAAACGCCACUGUCACAGAUGAUCGAAUGGAGGCGACACAGGCGGACAGCAGCAACAACAGCAGCAGCAGCAGCAGCAGCAGCAGAAGCAGUAAAUGCGACAGCAGCAACAACCACAACUAUCUAGUGUAAUUUAAGGAGACACAUGAAAUGUGUUAGUGUCAUAAAUGCAGAGAGGCAAACAGAAUGUAUUCACUAAGUACGAAUAUGAUAGGAUAUGAGUAAUCUCUUUGGCCAGCGGCGAGGACUCUUUUAAUAAAUUAAUUAAU